GAUGAACGCUGGCGGCGUGCCUAAUACAUGCAAGUCGAGCGAACGGACGAGAAGCUUGCUUCUCUGAUGUUAGCGGCGGACGGGUGAGUAACACGUGGAUAACCUACCUAUAAGACUGGGAUAACUUCGGGAAACCGUAGCUAAUACCGGAUAAUAUUUUGAACCGCAUGGUUCAAAAGUGAAAGACGGUCUUGCUGUCACUUAUAGAUGGAUCCGCGCUGCAUUAGCUAGUUGGUAAGGUAACGGCUUACCAAGGCAACGAUGCAUAGCCGACCUGAGAGGGUGAUCGGCCACACUGGAACUGAGACACGGUCCAGACUCCUACGGGAGGCAGCAGUAGGGAAUCUUCCGCAAUGGGCGAAAGCCUGACGGAGCAACGCCGCGUAAGUGAUGAAGGUCUUCGGAUCGUAAAACUCUGUUAUUAGGGAAGAACAUAUGUGUAAGUAACUGUGCACGUCUUGACGGUACCUAAUCAGAAAGCCACGGCUAACUACGUG
rnacentral:rRNA from 1 species